GUAUAAGAACAAAGGAAAAACUGAAGGAACAAAACAGCAGCGGAAUCACAGAACCCAAGAAUGGACUAACAGGUACCAAAAGGAAAGGGACUGUGGAGGAUGGGUGGGUAGGGAGGAAUAAGGGGGGGAAGAAGAAGGGGGGUAUUAAGAUCAGCAUGCAUGGGGGGGUGGGAGAAAGGGGAGGGCUGGCUGUACAACACAGAGAAGGCAAAUAGUGAUUCUACAACAUUUUGCUAAGCUGAUGGACAGUGACUGUAAAGGGGUUUAUAGGGGAGACCUGGUAUAGGGAAGAGCCUAGUAAACAUAAUAUUCGUCAUGUAAGUGUAGAUUAGUGAUAUCAAAAAAAAAAAAAAAAAAAGAA